rnacentral:rRNA from 1 species
CCUACGGGUGGCAGCAGUGGGGGAUAUUGCACAAUGGGGGGAACCCUGAUGCAGCGACGCCGCGUGGGUGAAGGAGUGCUUCGGCAUGUAAAGCCCUAUCGGCAGGGAAGAAGCAAGACGGUACCUGACUAAGAAGCCCCGGCUAACUACGUGCCAGCAGCCGCGGUAAUACGUAGGGGGCGAGCGUUAUCCGGAUUCACUGGGUGUAAAGGGAGCGUAGACGGCCAAGCAAGCCAGGGGUGAAAGCCCGGGGCCCAACCCCGGGACUGCCCUUGGAACUGCAUGGCUGGAGUGCGAGAGGUAUGCGGAAUGCGUGGUGUAGCGGUGAAAUGCAUAGAUAUCACGCAGAACCCCGAUUGCGAAGGCAGCAUACCGGUGCACAACUGACGCGCAGGCACGAAAGCGUGGGUAUCGAACAGGAUUAGAUACCCGUGUAGUC